CACGGAAGACCCAAGCGCUACCCGGAAUCACUGGGCUUAAAGGGUGCGCAGGCGGGCCUGUAAGUACUUUGUGAAAUCCCAGAGCUCAACUCUGGAAUCGCUCGGUAAACUACAGGUCUUGAGCCCGACAGAGGUCGUCAGAACGCUAGGUGGAGCGGUGAAAUGCGUAGAUAUCUAGCGGAAUGCCAAAGGUGAAGACAGACGGCUGGGUCGGAGCUGACGCUCAGGCACGAAAGCAUGGGUAGCGAACGGG
rnacentral:misc_RNA from 1 species